CUGUAAGGGGAAUGAUGUAUUAUUAUCGGGCUCUUAAGAUGUUGGCUUUUCUGGAUUCGGCAUCAGAGAUGGACAUUCGG
rnacentral:snoRNA from 2 species